rnacentral:rRNA from 1 species
CCAGCCCGCUCAGAACUUAAAGGAAUUGAGGGGCCCGGCACAAGCGGAGGAGCAUGUGGUUUAAUUUCGAUGAUACGCGAGGAACCUUACCUGGGCUCGAACGUAAAGAUGACUGUAGGUGAAAGCUUACAUCUCUUCGGAGCAUUUUACGAGGUGCUGCAUGGUUGUCGUCAGCUCGUGCCGUGAGGUGUCGGGUUAAGUCCCAUAACGAGCGCAACCCCUACCUUUAGUUGCCAUCAGGUUAAGCUGGGGACUCUAAAGGAACUGCCUACGCAAGUAGUGAGGAAGGCGGGGAUGACGUCAAAUCAGCACGGCCCUUACGUCCAGGGCUACACACGUGCUACAAUGGCCGAUACAGAGGGCAGCUACCUGGUGACAGGAUGCAAAUCUCCAAAGUCGGUCUCAGUUCGGAUCGGAGUCUGCAACCCGACUCCGUGAAGUUGGAUUCGCUAGUAAUCGCGCAUCAGCCAUGGCGCGGUGAAUACGUUCCCGGGCCUU